UACGUAGGGUGCGAGCGUUAAUCGGAAUUACUGGGCGUAAAGCGUGCGCAGGCGGUGAUGUAAGACAGGUGUGAAAGCCCGGGGCUCAACUCCGGAAUUGCCUUUAAGACUGCAUCGCUAGAAUUGUGGAGAGGUAAGUGGAAUUCCGAGUGUAGAGGUGAAAUUCGUAGAUAUUCGGAAGAACACCAGUGGCGAAGGCGACUUACUGGACACAUAUUGACGCUGAGGUGCGAAAGCGUGGGGAGCAAACAGG
rnacentral:rRNA from 1 species